rnacentral:misc_RNA from 1 species
GGUGUCGGUUGCGCCUCCACCGGCGACACAUCCGCCGCCCUUUCCGCCUACUGUGCAGCUGCCGGCAUCCCCUCCAUUGUUUUCCUCCCCACCGACCGCAUCUCCCUCGCCCAGCUUGUCCAGCCCAUCGCCAAUGGUGCCACCGUCCUCUCCCUCGACACUGACUUCGACGGCUGCAUGCGCCUCAUCAGGGAGGUCACUGCCGAGCUCCCCAUUUACCUCGCUAACUCCCUCAAUUCCCUCCGCCUGGAGGGGCAGAAGACAGCCGCAAUUGAGAUCCUCCAGCAGUUUGAUUGGGAGGUCCCCGACUGGGUCAUUGUCCCUGGUGGCAAUCUCGGUAACAUCUAU